rnacentral:lncRNA from 1 species
GCAGAUCCCAACACUCCAGGAUGGUGCAGGACAUCAGUCUCAAGAGCAGGAAAGCUGAGAAUGUGCUGGAAAUGCUUGUUGAGGCCGACGUGUCAGGCAGCCCAUCAGUGCAGGAUGGAGCCUCGGUUGCAGAGAACUGCAGGGAGGUGGUGUGGAAGCUCAUUGGCUGUAAGAACUGCUCCGCUGCGACAGUGCUGCUGGAGGUGGUGGUGAACAGAUUUCUGAUGCCAAGCUGAUCAUCGUCUCAGCACCAGCAAAGACAUGCUAUUCCCGUCCCUGACGAGCAUUUCCUUCUUGAGAAAGUGAUUUUGAGGGGCUGCAGAUGUACUUGGAGGAAGGUUUGGGCCGGGACAGAUGACGUGCCCAUGUGGGAGCUGGACGGCCCCUCUCUGGGUAGCUCCCUGGGAACUCCCAUGUCCGCCUCCCGCUGCCUCCUGAUCCAAGGUGGAUGCACUUCAUUUGAGGCCUGGUCUUUCGUCCUUCCCUCUCCUCUUCGGGGACCACUUUGUCUAGUGCUAGACUCAUUGUGCUUCCCCCUUGGGGCUUCCUUCAGCCCUCAGCCGAUUCAAGACUUCAAAAGGAAGUUGGACAUGGAGAGGAAAAAAGAAAUGAAACCAGGAAGGAACCGCCAAGAAGCACACAACGCGUUUAUGCUGCCUUAACCACACGCUUGACUCUAAAUGGGUUUAAAAAUUCUUACUUGUGUUAGCCCAAGAAAGUUUCUGCAGCCGUCUUUUUGGUUUAAACAAUCAAAUACUCAAUAAUUCUGGGGCUGGUGGGCCAGGAUAUGGGUUACUCAGAUCUUCUGCUUCACCCCAUGCUCGGUCCCUGAGCCAGUUCUGUCAUUGGUUCUUUCAGACCAGGGCAGGAAAAGUCAAGAAAGCAAAAGCGGAUUCUAGGCUGUGGGGUUUGCUGUUUGCUAGCCCCCUGGCAGAGAUGCCUGUCCUUGCAGUCCUGAACUGGUGGCCAAGUGUGCAUGCAUGCACGUGCAGGUGUGUGCAUGUGCAGGUGUGCAUGCGUGUAUGUGCGCACACACAUUCAUGCUUGUACAUGUUUGUGUACACGCACACUUUUUUCUGCUUUCAAUUUCAAGCUGUUGCCUCCCUGAUGUGUCUGUUUAGUGACUUGAGCCAGAAAGAUUCCCGGUUCUAUGUGGGAUGAGAAUGAACGCAGGCAGGUCUCCACAGAAGUGAGUAAAGUAGAGCUGAGAAGAAGGACAUUGUCUCAUGCCAGCCUGUCCAAUAGCCACUUUGCCCCAGCCCUGCCUCAAGCCCCAGAGAGAUGACAAGGCUCUCUCUGUUUGUCGACUCCUUGAAGCUCAGAAAGGUGGGUCAAGAGGUGCCCGUCAAGCGUUUAGGCAAGCACAGGACCCUGAUCUUUACUAAGUCUCCACAUCUCUCUUGCACAGCCCUGGGCUCAGGGCUUGGUCCCCUCUGGGCAGGCCAUCCAGACUAAGUGACAGUCAGAUUGUGUGUGGGGAGGCUAGAGACAUCCAUUCUUCAUGGAUCAGCCUGAAUGGCUGGACAGAUCUUGCAAAUGGAUUGUGUAAGACAGAGUGUGGAAGAGGAGGCUGUGAUCAGUGGCUUGGAGAGCAGAGUGUGGUCAGGCGCUAAACCUAAGGCUUUUCUGGGAAGAGCUGUUAAGAUUAGACUGUUCUCCCAAAAAGCCAAUAAUUCUGAGUGUCUCCAUUAAUGCCUAGGUAGCCCAUACUCUCACCCAGCCGGUGCCCUUCAGCCUGGAACCUUUGGAUGGAGGAUUGGACCUUGUGACCUUCAAGUUCCCUUCCGAACCAAAUAUGCUCUAACCCAGGAGAUGGUGCUGUUGCCCAGGAAGCCGGUCACCAUGACGAGAGUACCCGCUCAGAUGAGGAUGCAGGCGGAGGCGGUGAAGGUGCUGGAGGCCAGGAUGCUGAGGUACCUCCAGACACCACCCAGGCUGCAGCAAAUGGAAUGGGAGAGGCUAACACACCAUAAUUUUUCAAUUCCAUGAUGCCCAUUUUUUCUCACAUUUUAACGUCUCUAAAAUUGGGGCACAUCUUAUGAUUGAUGGCAUCUUACAAUUACACUUGGCAGUACUUUUUCUUGGUGAUACAAAAAAACAACAGUGUAUCUUACAACUGAUAGCUUAGAUUCAGUGAAAUCCUAGAAUACAACAGGUUUGAAAA